AAAGAUAAUCAUAUUGAGUAAUACGGGAAAGAUAGUCAUGCGUCAAAUUUACGCAUGUUUUUUAGUUAGCUCUAAGUCGCGGUAUAUUGUUUUUUUUCUAUAAAUUGUAAGUUAUUAUAUAUUUACAGUUAUGUUAGAAUAAUUAAUAUUACAAAUAAUUUAUUUUUAAUUAUUUUUAUACAUAUAAAAAAACGAAAACAUUAAACGUCUGCUUUAAAUCUACAAUUCUUGUAACACGAGGAAUUUGCCUUUCGUCAUAUUUCAGAAGGACAAAUCGUAUAGUAAAUACGUUUUUUUUUUACGGAAGGCCUCCUCAGUACUUUCUUACGAUGUACCAGAUACUUCAUUUGGCAACAAAUUGGAGAUAUUAUCACGCAAAUAUCUUAUCAAAGCUGGUGAUUCUAAACACCCACGCAUAAACAAAGAAGACGGUUCCAUGCUUCUAUAUUUCAUGUUUUUUUGACUCGGAUGUUUUUGUGCUUUGAUGUUAACAUUGUGGCUAUAAAUUUAAUAUGCAAUA